rnacentral:rRNA from 2 species
GACGAACGCUGGCGGCGUGCCUAAUACAUGCAAGUCGAACGAAACUUUCUUACACCGAAUGCUUGCAUUCACCGUAAGAAGUUGAGUGGCGGACGGGUGAGUAACACGUGGGUAACCUGCCUAAAAGAAGGGGAUAACACUUGGAAACAGGUGCUAAUACCGUAUAUCUCUAAGGAUCGCAUGAUCCUUAGAUGAAAGAUGGUUCUGCUAUCGCUUUUAGAUGGACCCGCGGCGUAUUAACUAGUUGGUGGGGUAACGGCCUACCAAGGUGAUGAUACGUAGCCGAACUGAGAGGUUGAUCGGCCACAUUGGGACUGAGACACGGCCCAAACUCCUACGGGAGGCAGCAGUAGGGAAUCUUCCACAAUGGACGCAAGUCUGAUGGAGCAACGCCGCGUGAGUGAAGAAGGUCUUCGGAUCGUAAAACUCUGUUGUUAGAGAAGAACACGAGUGAGAGUAACUGUUCAUUCGAUGACGGUAUCUAACCAGCAAGUCACGGCUAACUACGUGCCAGCAGCCGCGGUAAUACGUAGGUGGCAAGCGUUGUCCGGAUUUAUUGGGCGUAAAGGGAACGCAGGCGGUCUUUUAAGUCUGAUGUGAAAGCCUUCGGCUUAACCGGAGUAGUGCAUUGGAAACUGGAAGACUUGAGUGCAGAAGAGGAGAGUGGAACUCCAUGUGUAGCGGUGAAAUGCGUAGAUAUAUGGAAGAACACCAGUGGCGAAAGCGGCUCUCUGGUCUGUAACUGACGCUGAGGUUCGAAAGCGUGGGUAGCAAACAGGAUUAGAUACCCUGGUAGUCCACGCCGUAAACGAUGAAUGCUAGGUGUUGGAGGGUUUCCGCCCUUCAGUGCCGCAGCUAACGCAAUAAGCAUUCCGCCUGGGGAGUACGACCGCAAGGUUGAAACUCAAAGGAAUUGACGGGGGCCCGCACAAGCGGUGGAGCAUGUAGUUUAAUUCGAAGCAACGCGAAGAACCUUACCAGGUCUUGACAUCCUUUGACCACCUAAGAGAUUAGGUUUUCCCUUCGGGGACAAAGUGACAGGUGGUGCAUGGCUGUCGUCAGCUCGUGUCGUGAGAUGUUGGGUUAAGUCCCGCAACGAGCGCAACCCUUGUUGUCAGUUGCCAGCAUUAAGUUGGGCACUCUGGCGAGACUGCCGGUGACAAACCGGAGGAAGGUGGGGACGACGUCAAGUCAUCAUGCCCCUUAUGACCUGGGCUACACACGUGCUACAAUGGACGGUACAACGAGUCGCGAGACCGCGAGGUUUAGCUAAUCUCUUAAAGCCGUUCUCAGUUCGGAUUGUAGGCUGCAACUCGCCUACAUGAAGUCGGAAUCGCUAGUAAUCGCGAAUCAGCAUGUCGCGGUGAAUACGUUCUCGGGCCUUGUACACACCGCCCGUCACACCAUGAGAGUUUGUAACACCCAAAGCCGGUGGGGUAACCGCAAGGAGCCAGCCGUCUAAGGUGGGACAGAUGAUUGGGGUG